GCGGGUAUUGUAUAGUGGCUAUUACCUCAGCUUUCCAAGCUGAUGAGGCGGGUUCGAUUCCCGCUACCCGCUCCA
rnacentral:tRNA from 1 species